GAAAUGUUUCAGCAAUGGUAAUGCAGACUGAUAAGUGAAGGCCAGGGAACAGAAGUCCAGUCAAGCAUGAGCACUGAAGUCCAGAAUCCAGGAGAACACACUGAUCACUCUUUUAAGAUGGCUGGAAAUAAAUAUUACAUCCUCAAACCUGAAAAGACAUUUAAAUGUCAUGAAGAUAUUAUUGGAAAAAUCCAAAGAAUACCGGGUCUAGAGGAGGUGAAGUCUGUGGAGGAGUGUGAUUUUUUAGUGGUUUUCUGCAUGAUUGUGUCAAAAGCAAGAACUGACAUUGAAGCUGCACUGAAGGAGCUUUAUAAACUUUCAGGUAAUGUACUGAGGGUGAAUAUAAAUGUAUAGGGGAUACCGGAGUGUUACACCCAUUGUUUUGAUUCAAUAAUACCACAUUUAUCUCUUUUAAAUAAAGAAAUCUACAAUGCCCAAAGAUUGCUGCUGGGGGUGAGAUGUAAACAAAAGACAAUACAAAAAGAAAUCUCAUAAUCAAUAUAUCCACAUUUCUGUGUGGCUUUGUGGCCUUUAAGCAUUUACAUUUUAACAAAGCUUAACAAAUCAGAAACAAAUAUUAUUAGAAACAAAUUUAAAAUAUAUAUACAGUAUAUAUACACAAUUUUGAAUCUCUAAAAGUAUAUUUCUUAUUAAUUUAACCUCUACAUUUAAACAGUGUCUAAAACUGCCAUUUUUAUGGUGCUGCAUCACACAUUUGACCAAGAGAAAAUUGUACCAGACAGCAGCAGGAGUGUAAACAGGAUAAAUACGCUCACAGUGGAUCUUCUGUUCUAUGAGGAUGAAGGACUCCUGGAGUGCAUGAAAAAUACUGAAGCUUUGGAGAGGAUUGAGAAAUUGCUGCAACCUCAGUUUCAGGAGCAUGCUGGCUGGUUUUCCUUCAAUUCUUCUUCAAUGUGGGCAGUGUGCAGUUCCCGUGUGGACCCAGAUGCACAAGCUGAGGAGCUGAAAGGUAAAUUAUUAUCACUACAUA